UACGUAGGGUCCGAGCGUUGUCCGGAAUUAUUGGGUGUAAAGGGCUCGUAGGCGGUUCGUCACGUCGGGAGUGAAAACUCGGGGCUUAACCCCGAGCCUGCUUCCGAUACGGGCAGACUAGAGGUAGGCAGGGGAGAGCGGAACUCCUGGUGUAGCGGUGAAAUGCGCAGAUAUCAGGAGGAACACCGGUGGCGAAGGCGGUUCUCUGGGAAUGUCCUGACGCUGAGGAGCGAAAGUGUGGGGAGCGAACAGG
rnacentral:rRNA from 1 species